UACGUAGGGAGCAAGCGUUGUCCGGAAUCAUUGGGCGUAAAGCGCGCGUAGGUGGCUUCGUAAGUCCGUUGUGAAAGUCAAAGGCUCAACCUUUGAAAGCCGAUGGAUACUGCGGAGCUAGAGUACGGAAGAGGCGAGUGGAAUUCCUGGUGUAGCGGUGGAAUGCGCAGAUAUCAGGAGGAACACCAAUAGCGAAGGCAGCUCGCUGGGACGUUACUGACACUGAGGCGCGAAAGCUAGGGGAGCAAACAGG
rnacentral:rRNA from 1 species